rnacentral:rRNA from 1 species
GUAUCCUACGGGAGGCAGCAGCCGCGGUAAAACGUAGGGGGCGAGCGUUGUCCGGAAUGACUGGGCGUAAAGGGUGCGUAGGCGGCAUAAUAAGUUAGAAGUGAAAUACCCAGAGCUUAACUCGGGUGCUGCUUCUAAGACUGUUGAGCUUGAGUGCGGGAGAGGUUAAUGGAAUUCCUAGUGUAGCGGUGGAAUGCGUAGAUAUUAGGAGGAACACCAGAGGCGAAGGCGAUUAACUGGACCGUAACUGACGCUGAGGCACGAAAGUGUGGGUAGCAAACAGGAUUAGAAACCCGAGUAGUCCU